ACUCUGCGUUUAUCGGGCACGCGCGCGCGCCCACCAAGCGCCGUCCACGCCCGGUUCUGGAGGGCGGGUGUAGUAACGUCAGCGCGCAGGGGGGGCAGGCUGUGGAUUCUGGGAGCACAAACACACACAUCAGCCAUUUUUCAGUUUGCUGUGCUCAUCCUUUCACUUCAACGCGAACAUCCUCACAACGCAGAGCUGAAAGGGACGAGAAAAAUGGACGAAGCGAAAGCGGGUCAGCAAACGCACGAGCGGCGGUUUUGCUAAUAACAACAAACAAACGAACGCACCAAACACUCGAUGGGACUCACACCGUUUACCUGCUAAAUCGCCUUUGGGACCGAAUCUGGACAUCUCUGAAUCCAUUAAACCACAUUAGAAGUUUGAACCCCAUCCAUAAAGCAGCUUAUAAAAGGUGGUCUGCUGUAUUUUUGUGCUGGUGGUCUCGUGGUUUGGGGUGAUUGUCUCCGCUGGUGCUGCAUUGCAGUCAAUAGGCGUGUUGACUGACGAAGAGCGCCUCUGCUGGACGCAGGUGGAAGUGCAGGUCAAAUAAACUCAUGACGACGACGGUGAUGAUGAAGUUGGUUUUAUAUUCACACAUUAUAACUUUUCCUUUUUUAUAAUUUCAGAAAACAAUGAUUUGCCAAUUCU
rnacentral:lncRNA from 1 species